CCUGGUUGAUUCUGCCAGUAGUCAUAUGCUUGUCUUAAAGAUUAAGCCAUGCAUGUCUAAGUAUAAGCAAUUAUACAGCGAAACUGCGAAUGGCUCAUUAAAUCAGUUAUCGUUUAUUUGAUAGUACCUUACUACAUGGAUAACCGUGGUAAUUCUAGAGCUAAUACAUGCUAAAAACCCCGACUUCGGAAGGGGUGUAUUUAUUAGAUUAAAAACCAAUGCCCUUCGGGGCUCACUGGUGAUUCAUGAUAACUUCUCGAAUCGCACGGCCUUGCGCCGGCGAUGGUUCAUUCAAAUUUCUGCCCUAUCAACUUUCGACGGCUGGGUCUUGGCCAGCCGUGGUGACAACGGGUAACGGAGGGUUAGGGCUCGACCCCGGAGAAAACGCCUGAGAAACGGCGUUUACAUCCAAGGAAGGCAGCAGGCGCGCAAAUUACCCAAUGCCGACACGGCGAGGUAGUGACGAGAAAUACUGAUACAGGGCUCUUUUGGGUCUUGUAAUUGGAAUGAGUACAAUUUAAAUCUCUUAACGAGGAACAAUUGGAGGGCAAGUCUGGUGCCAGCAGCCGCGGUAAUUCCAGCUCCAAUAGCGUAUAUUAAAGUUGUUGCAGUUAAAAAGCUCGUAGUUGAACCUUGGGCCUGGCUGGCCGGUCCGCCUCACCGCGUGCACUGGUCCGGCCGGGCCUUUCCCUCUGGGGAACCGCAUGCCCUUCACUGGGCGUGUCGGGGAACCAGGACUUUUACUUUGAAAAAAUUAGAGUGUUCAAAGCAGGCCUAUGCUCGAAUACAUUAGCAUGGAAUAAUAGAAUAGGACGUGUGGUUCUAUUUUGUUGGUUUCUAGGACCGGCCGUAAUGAUUAAUAGGGACAGUCGGGGGCAUCAGUAUUCAAUUGUCAGAGGUGAAAUUCUUGGAUUUAUUGAAGACUAACUACUGCGAAAGCAUUUGCCAAGGAUGUUUUCAUUAAUCAGGAACGAAAGUUAGGGGAUCGAAGACGAUCAGAUACCGUCGUAGUCUUAACCAUAAACUAUGCCGACUAGGGAUCGGACGGUGU
rnacentral:rRNA from 1 species